AAUAGAUGUAUAAAUAUAUAGAAGAAAUUAAAUGAUAAAUCAUUAAAUUUAAAAGAUUUGGCAGUAUUUAAUAUUUAGAGGAACCUGUAUAGUAAUUGAUGAUCCACGAUAAGAUAUACUUAAUUUAAGUUUAUGUAUUGCUGUUUUAAAUAUUUAAUUAAGUUAGAUAAUAAUAUAAUUUAUAAUAUUUUUAAUAAGAUAAAGUAAUUCAAGUCAAAAUAUAGUUUAAUUAAGAUUUAAUAUGGGUUACAAUUAAUUUAAUUAUUGGAUUAAAAAAUUUAAUUUUUUUAUGAAAUUGGAUUUAAAAGUAAAUUUAAUUAAUUAAUUAAAUUGAAUAAUAAAUUAAAUAUGU
rnacentral:rRNA from 1 species